rnacentral:sRNA from 1 species
UUAUAGAACAGACUCACAUCGGCGUGAAAGGAGUAGUGAAAACAAGUUUGGGAAACCCAGUUACCAACGGGACAGUUAAAGUGAGAGGCAUAGAUCACGUGAUUCGAACAUCUGACCAAGGAGAGUACUGGAGACUACUAACACCAGGGAAAUACCAGAUAAUCUUUAGCGCCCCAGGCUACUCCUCAGUGACCACUAGUGUGAUCAUCUCUGACGGACUAGCCCAGGUCAUAAACGUGACGUUUGACACAUUUACUAAAAGAGGAAAACUUCAAAAGGGAUAAUAAAAAGUCACUUUUUAUUGACAGAGAACAAAAUAUUUAUGUCACUUUCUUUUUGUAUCUGUAUCUUUUAUGUAAAUAAAUUUAAUAAUGUGAUAAGC